UACGUAGGAGGCAAGCGUUGUCCGGAGUUACUGGGCGUAAAGCGUGUGUAGGCGGCUUUGUAAGUUAGAGGUGAAAGCCCGGGGCUCAACUCCGGAAUUGCCUUUAAGACUGCAUCGCUAGAAUUGUGGAGAGGUGAGUGGAAUUCCGAGUGUAGAGGUGAAAUUCGUAGAUAUUCGGAAGAACACCAGUGGCGAAGGCGACUCACUGGACACAUAUUGACGCUGAGGUGCGAAAGCGUGGGGAGCAAACAGG
rnacentral:rRNA from 1 species